rnacentral:rRNA from 1 species
GACCGCCUGGGGAGUACGGCCGCAAGGUUAAAACUCAAAUGAAUUGACGGGGGCCCGCACAAGCGGUGGAGCAUGUGGUUUAAUUCGAUGCAACGCGAAGAACCUUACCUGGUCUUGACAUCCACAGAACUUUCCAGAGAUGGAUUGGUGCCUUCGGGAACUGUGAGACAGGUGCUGCAUGGCUGUCGUCAGCUCGUGUUGUGAAAUGUUGGGUUAAGUCCCGCAACGAGCGCAACCCUUAUCCUUUGUUGCCAGCGGUUCGGCCGGGAACUCAAAGGAGACUGCCAGUGAUAAACUGGAGGAAGGUGGGGAUGACGUCAAGUCAUCAUGGCCCUUACGACCAGGGCUACACACGUGCUACAAUGGCAUAUACAAAGAGAAGCGACCUCGCGAGAGCAAGCGGACCUCAUAAAGUAUGUCGUAGUCCGGAUUGGAGUCUGCAACUCGACUCCAUGAAGUCGGAAUCGCUAGUAAUCGUAGAUCAGAAUGCUACGGUGAAUACGUUCCCGGGCCUUGUACACACCGCCCGUCACACCAUGGGAGUGGGUUGCAAAAGAAGUAGGUAGCUUAACCUUCGGGAGGGCGCUUACCACUUUGUGAUUCAUGACUGGGGUGAAGUCGUAACAAGGUAACCGUAGGGGAACCUGCGGUUGGAUCACCUCCUUACCUUAAAGAA